GCUCUCUCUCUCUCCAAUUCCACUUUGCCGGUAGAUUGGUUGAUUUGCUUGGUUGAAGUCCUAUAGAUGCAUUGCCUGGCUGCAAACAAAUACUGUCACCUGCUUUUUCUAUUCGUUUCACCGCCCUGACCAAUUAGAGAAAAUAAACCACUGCUGAAAUGUCCACUAACAACAGUAGAAAGAAAUAUUUGGUGAUUGUGAGUUCGCCAGUUGGGUGUGUGCAAGUUCCUUGAUCGAGUCCAUGUGGAUGAUUUGUUCAAUAUUACUUUUCGGCAUAAAUAAAAUAAAUUUAUAUGCUAGACCUUCCUUCUUAUCUAGCUUACCAUACCAAGGGCAAUAACGAACCGUAUUAUUGUCGCGCACAUGCUGAGAAAAAAUUCCAAAUAUGUUCUCAUGUUCUGAUGUUGGUUGGAUGGUUGAUCUUCGGAAGAAUGCAAACUAGCUAGAUUGCAAUUCAAAUAAUUGUUUGAUUUUUCAGAUGGUCGAUUACUAAUCCACUGAUCAACAAUACAAUGCAAUGGCUACAUCGCAUUGCUCAUGACCUUAUAGUUAAUUAUGUUAAGUUAAAGAUAUAAGUGAUCUGUUUGUGUCUUUGCAGUUCUUUUGUUCUUCAGGUGUGCCUGUUGUCGACUUUUGUUUUUGCUGGUUGUACUUCUUUAUCAUUUUUGCCAGUCUUAUUUCACCAGAUAAAUUUUUUUUUUGCUCAGACCACCUAAACAAUUUAAUACAGUAUUUUCGUGACCAAAAGGACCAUUUGUCUGCUAUGCAUAUGAUGUCCAGAUUGUACUUGCAGCCUGUAAUUUUAUCUUUCUUUGUUUCCUUACAUACUAUUAUCUCUCUGAUAGACUUUUGUUUCAAGUUUCAACUUGAUAAUUGUUUCUGUAUGGUUAACACCUAAAAAACAAAAUGCUACAACCUGCGUGUCUAAAAGAUCGUGCAACCUUCAAACCAUUUAAAGCUUAAAUCUGUACCCAAACAUUUUGUUCAAUAAAAACAUGUUUCAACUGUGUUUCCUCCACUGAAGACUUGUGGUAUCUGAACAUGAACUGAGUUGUGAUAUGAAGGUUAUAAUCAGCAGCGGGUCCCGUGGAUAACUCUAUAAGAACAGUGAUUUAUGGAUUAGCAGCUGGUUCAGUGCAUUCUACUGAAGCUGCAGACUGUUCAUGCCGAUUUGAGUGUUCCUUUAAAUUAUGUACAAUAUGAUAUAGCUGUUAAUGGAAUUGUUACUGAAGGAAGCCAGAAAUAAAGUAGCACCACGUCCAAGAGUUGGCUGCUCAAAUGGUCUUCUCACACAUUGUAAGUGGUGGUGCACAAGCUGUGAGUCCAAACUUCAGUUAUGAAGUACACAAGACAGAAAUGAUCACACGGGGAUAUUAGUCCUUCCUUGGUGGAAUUAACGGUGCUUCUGAAGUGUUGCCGAAUGACAGUUAAUCAUGUUCAUAGGGUCUCAUGUUCCAUCUUCGUUGGAUAUUUCUGCCAUUGACAUUUGAUGGCAGUUUUUGGCUAGAGGCCAGUUCUUGGGAUGUCCCGAUCUGUCUGAUAAUUCAACUUUUGUCCCUCCUUCUGAUUGUGGUCUAUCUGUCCCACGUGUGGCUGGGUUUACCACUGGCUUUGGUCCGGAGGACCCUGCCCCUCCUGGGCCUGCUGCUGGCGUUGUUCGGCGCACUUCCUCUACACAUUCCGUUGCAGGCACUCCUUUUGUUUUUCCUGCAUAGGCCACUCUUCACUGCCGUAGAGUAUUCAGAGGUGCCGGCUCCUGGUGAAGUUUGUCUAUUUUUUGGUAACUAUACAUUUUGGUUCCAGUUUUCAGAUGUUUACAGUCUUUUGCCUUUUCACAGGCCUUCCUUUUGGCUUCCAAUUACUCUUCAGUGCUCAAAUAGUAGAUUUAUUGAAACGUAGGCUUCCCCUGUUACUUCGUAGAAAGUGUUUAUCUGGAUAUAUGUAUAUGCCAUCUUGAUUGUUUGCAUUUAAAAACCAAUUACUCAAUUCCGUAUUUUUGUCAGCUGGCUGGCUUGGUCGUUCAUACCAUGGCAGUCCCCACCAAGUUUGUUGUGUACGGUGUCUGAUGUCCAUGGAUAGAUUGGGACUACAAAAGCUAGCAACAAAUUCUAAGGGGUGUGCUUCAGCUUAUAUUUACCAUGCUUACAAGUGUGCUCACAUCAUUUCCGUGAUACCGACCACCUCUCUGUGCAACGGAGACCGCAGCUGCUUAGUCUGUUUCCAGAAUUUUUGUCGCUCUGACCCUUCUGCUCUACUCGCAUGAAAUAAGAAAAUGAAUUCACGAAGAGUGAAGCACAUGGGAGUGUGGAAAUCGAUGCAUGUGUCCUGAACAACGAGAGUUCAUGGAGAGAAAAACACAAUUCUAUCAUGAGGUAAUUAUACUCUUCGCCUUCUUGACGCCUUAUUAGUUCACACCAGAUAUCUCUAAGCAUGGAUAUUUUCCAUGUUUAUGCUCAUGGAACCACUGCUGCCCAUCUUAGGUAUGUACACGGCAAUUUCACAUUAAAUGAUAUGCCAUCUACAGCACCUCAUUAGAUACUGAUAGUUCCAAUUUCACACAAGGCAUGAAAAACUGUACUUCCAUUAGAUACUGAUAGUUCCAAUUUCACACAACGCAUGAAAAACUGUACUGCCAACUACAGCACCUCAUUAUUUAACUAACUAUCAGACCUUUUGUACUCUCCUAGGCCCUUCAUACUCCAUGUACAACUUCCAACCCUUAAAUGUUAUUUGUCCGUAUAAUAUACACCCAGACGCCUGCAAAUUACCAGUAUACACUCUUUUGCAGCAGUUUCCACUGCCACCUUA